UCUUCCGUAGUAUAGUGGUCAGAGCUUGUCACGCUUGAGACCCGGGUUCAAUUCCCGGCGGGAGAG
rnacentral:tRNA from 1 species